rnacentral:rRNA from 1 species
CACUCCACGGGAGGCAGCAGUGGGGAAUAUUGGACAAUGGGCGCAAGCCUGAUCCAGCCAUGCCGCGUGAGUGAUGAAGGCCCUAGGGUUGUAAAGCUCUUUCACCGGUGAAGAUAAUGACGGUAACCGGAGAAGAAGCCCCGGCUAACUUCGUGCCAGCAGCCGCGGUAAUACGAAGGGGGCUAGCGUUGUUCGGAUUUACUGGGCGUAAAGCGCACGUAGGCGGACUAUUAAGUCAGGGGUGAAAUCCCGGGGCUCAACCCCGGAACUGCCUUUGAUACUGGUAGUCUUGAGUUCGAGAGAGGUGAGUGGAAUUCCGAGUGUAGAGGUGAAAUUCGUAGAUAUUCGGAGGAACACCAGUGGCGAAGGCGGCUCACUGGCUCGAUACUGACGCUGAGGUGCGAAAGCGUGGGGAGCAAACAGGAUUAGAAACCCCUGUAGUCCCAUG